AGCUGAUGCUGCUGGUUCGAGAGCCCUUUGGCUGAGAAAGCAGAUAGCUCACCAGCCCGGCAGCCUGGGUCUCCAGGUAGUAUCAGGUCAGGCCAACGACACUGAGACAUUUGUCCACCCUGAGAGGACUCUGAGCACCUGUGGCUGAGGCCAAAGGACCACAGGGCUAAGGAUGGGGAGACUCCAACUCCAGUCGAUAUGCAUACCUUGGCAAGCUUCUCACUACAGCCCACUGUUCAUGGAGAAGCUGGGCCUUGCAGAUCGACCAGAAACCCCCACGAUAUGCCACUUUCUGCCCCUAUGUCCUGCGUGUCCUGGGCAUUGGCCCUGUCUCCCUUGGCAAACACAGAACACUGUUCCAUCUCAGAGAUUGCUUCACCAGAGAAACAGAUGCAUUUAUGGUACUGUAAGUACUAUAGUAUAUGUGUUGCCAAUUACUGUAAAGUCGUAAGUAUUUAUAAUUCUGGUUCUGAUUUGAUGGGCACUUGAGGUAGCUGUGGGUGGGAGGGUAUGCUUAUUGUCCGAGGAGACUCACAACCAUUUCUCAGGUUUCCCUUGCAGAGUGUGUGCCGUUACCAGUGGGAUAGUGGGUGUGCCAAGGAGAAAAAUGGCCAGUUAGAAAAAAAUCCCAAGACUAGUCUAUGCAGAAUCUCUCGCCUACAGACAGGGCAUUAAUAGCCCAGUGGUGGGUGAGCGGCAGAGGCCAGGACUGGACUCAGACUU
rnacentral:lncRNA from 1 species